AGCGGCGGACGGGUUAGUAACGCGUGGGAAUGUACCCUUCUCUAUGGAAUAGCCUCGGGAAACUGAGAGUAAUACCAUAUACGCCCUUCGGGGGAAAGAUUUAUCGGAGAAGGAUCAGCCCGCGUAAGAUUAGAUAGUUGGUGGGGUAAUGGCCUACCAAGUCUACGAUCUUUAGCUGGUUUUAGAGGAUGAUCAGCAACACUGGGACUGAGACACGGCCCAGACUCCUACGGGAGGCAGCAGUGGGGAAUCUUAGACAAUGGGCGCAAGCCUGAUCUAGCCAUGCCGCGUGUGUGAUGAAGGCCUUAGGGUCGUAAAGCACUUUCGCCAGGGAUGAUAAUGACAGUACCUGGUAAAGAAACCCCGGCUAACUCCGUGCCAGCAGCCGCGGUAAUACGGAGGGGGUUAGCGUUGUUCGGAAUUACUGGGCGUAAAGCGCACGUAGGCGGAUCAGAAAGUUGGGGGUGAAAUCCCAGGGCUCAACCCUGGAACUGCCUCCAAAACUCCUGGUCUUGAGUUCGAGAGAGGUGAGUGGAAUUCCGAGUGUAGAGGUGAAAUUCGUAGAUAUUCGGAGGAACACCAGUGGCGACGCGGCUCACUGGCUCGAUACUGACGCUGAGUGCGAAAGUGUGGGGAGCAACAGGAUUAGAUACCUGUAGUUCACACGGU
rnacentral:rRNA from 1 species